AGGGGCAUCGGGGCGAGGAGCAAUCCUUGCCGCCGGCGACCGGCGCAUUGGUGAGUAACGCGUAUGCGACCUGCCCGUUGCAGGGGGAUAAUCGGGAGAAAUCCCGUCUAAUACCGCGUAAUGCCGCGGGGCUGCAUGGCCCUGCGGCCAAAGGAAGCGAUUCCGGCAACGGAUGGGCAUGCGUGACAUUAGCUAGUUGGCGGGGCAACGGCCCACCAAGGCGACGAUGUCUAGGGGUUCUGAGAGGAAGGUCCCCCACACUGGUACUGAGACACGGACCAGACUCCUACGGGAGGCAGCAGUGAGGAAUAUUGGUCAAUGGGCGCGAGCCUGAACCAGCCAAGUCGCGUGAGAGAUGACGGCCCUACGGGUUGUAAACCUCUUUUGUCGGGGAGCAAAUUCCGCCACGCGUGGCGGAGUCGAGAGUACCCGAAGAAAAAGCAUCGGCUAACUCCGUGCCAGCAGCCGCGGUAAUACGGAGGAUGCGAGCGUUAUCCGGAUUUAUUGGGUUUAAAGGGUGCGUAGGCGGACUGUCAAGUCAGCGGUAAAAUACGGGGGCUCAACCUCCGCCCGCCGUUGAAACUGACGGUCUUGAGUGGGCGAGAAGUAUGCGGAAUGCGUGGUGUAGCGGUGAAAUGCAUAGAUAUCACGCAGAACUCCGAUUGCGAAGGCAGCAUACCGGCGCCCAACUGACGCUGAAGCACGAAAGCGUGGGUAU
rnacentral:rRNA from 1 species